GAAAUGUGAUAAGUAAUGUGAAUUGCAGAAUUCAGUGAAUCAUCGAAUCUUUGAACGCACCUUGCGCUCCUUGGUAUUCCGAGGAGCAUGUCUGUUUGAGUGUCAUGAACUCUUCAACCCUCCAUUUCCUCGUUUGAAAUGUUUUGAGGUGAUUGGAUUUUGAGUACUUGCUCUUUUAUCAAAAUUAGCUUACUCGUAAUACAUUAGCACAAUUCAACUUCGAACUCGGAUUGACUCGGCGUAAUAGACUAUUCGCUGAGGACAUUGAGAAUUAAUUUUCUCUAAUGGCCGACUUUAGACGAUUUGAAUAGCUUCAAAUACUAUAAACCUUUUUAAGAUUAGACCUCAAAUCAGGCAGGAUUACCCGCUGAACUUAA
rnacentral:misc_RNA from 1 species